rnacentral:rRNA from 1 species
AUUGAACGCUGGCGGCAGGCCUAACACAUGCAAGUCGAACGAGUGGCGGACGGGUGAGUAAUGUCUGGGAAACUGCCCGAUGGAGGGGGAUAACUACUGGAAACGGUAGCUAAUACCGCAUACCAUCGGAUGUGCCCAGAUGGGAUUAGCUAGUAGGUGGGGUAACGGCUCACCUAGGCGCAGAUCCCUAGCUGGUCGGAGGGGAUGACCGGCCACACUGGAACUGGGACACGGGCCAGACGCCGACGGGAGGCAGCAGUGGGAAAUAUUGGACAAGGGGCACAAGCCUGAUGCGGCCAUGCGGCGUGUAGGAAGAGGCCCUUCGGGUUGUAAAGUACUUUCAGCGAGGAGGCGUUACUCGCAGAAGAAGCACCGGCUAACUCCGUGCCAGCAGCCGCGGUAAUUC